UACGGAGGAUGCAAGCGUUAUCCGGAAUCAUUGGGCGUAAAGCGUCCGUAGGUGGCUGUUCAAGUCUGCGGUCAAAGCACAAGGCUUAACCUUGUAAAGGCCGUGGAAACUGAAAAGGCUAGAGUGCGGUAGGGGUAGAGGGAAUUCCCAGUGUAGCGGUGAAAUGCGUAGAGAUUGGGAAGAACACCGGUGGCGAAAGCGGUUAGCUGGGCAGUUGCUGACACUGAGGCGCGACAGCGUGGGGAGCAAACAGG
rnacentral:rRNA from 1 species